rnacentral:rRNA from 1 species
GACGAACGCUGGCGGCGUGCCUAAUACAUGCAAGUCGAGCGCUGAGGGUUGGUACUUGUACCAACUGGAUGAGCAGAACACGGGUGAGUAACGCGUGGGGAAUCUGCCUUUGAGCGGGGGACAACAUGGGAAAACGAAUGCUAAUACCGCAUAAGCACUUUAAGCACAAGGUGGAAGGGUGAAAGUUGCAAUUGCAUCACGCACAGAUGGUCCAGCGUUGUAUUAGCUUGUUAGUGGGGUAAAAGCUCACCAAGGCGAUGACACAUAGCCGCCCUGAGAGGGUGGUCGGCCACACUGGGACUGUGACCCGCCCCAAACUCCCUCGGGUGGCAGCCGUACGGCAUCUUCGGGCAUCGGUGGAAGUCUGACCGCGCUACGCCGCGUGCGUGUAGAAGGUUUUCGGGUCGUAAAACUCGGUCUGUAGGGAAGAAAGUGGGUUCGAGUGGAAAGCACCGCAAGUGACGGUAACUAGCCAGAAAGCGACGGCUAACUACGUG